GAUGAACGCUGGCGGCGUGCCUAAUACAUGCAAGUCGAGCGAACAGACGAGGAGCUUGCUCCUUUGACGUUAGCGGCGGACGGGUGAGUAACACGUGGAUAACCUACCUAUAAGACUGGGAUAACUUCGGGAAACCGGAGCUAAUACCGGAUAACAUGUUGAACCGCAUGGUUCAACAGUGAAAGACGGUCUUGCUGUCACUUAUAGAUGGAUCCGCGCCGCAUUAGCUAGUUGGUAAGGUAACGGCUUACCAAGGCAACGAUGCGUAGCCGACCUGAGAGGGUGAUCGGCCACACUGGAACUGAGACACGGUCCAGACUCCUACGGGAGGCAGCAGUAGGGAAUCUUCCGCAAUGGGCGAAAGCCUGACGGAGCAACGCCGCGUGAGUGAAGAAGGCCUUCGGAUCGUAAAACUCUGUUAUUAGGGAAGAACAAAUGUGUAAGUAACUAUGCACGUCUUGACGGUACCUAAUCAGAAAGCCACGGCUAACUACGUG
rnacentral:rRNA from 1 species